rnacentral:tRNA from 1 species
AGCCCCGUAGUGUAGUGGCCAAUCAUGUCAGGUUCUGGCCCUGGCGACCGCGGUUCGAAUCCGCGCGGGGCUA